CCUACGGGCGGCAGCAGUGGGGAAUAUUGGACAAUGGGGGCAACCCUGAUCCAGCCAUGCCGCGUGUAUGAAGAAGGCCCUCGGGUUGUAAAGCACUUUCAGUGAGGAAGAACGCCUGGUGGUUAAUACCCAUCAGGAAAGACAUCACUCACAGAAGAAGCACCGGCUAACUCCGUGCCAGCAGCCGCGGUAAUACGGAGGGUGCGAGCGUUAAUCGGAAUUACUGGGCGUAAAGCGCGCGUAGGUGGCUUGAUAAGCCGGUUGUGAAAGCCCCGGGCUCAACCUGGGAACGGCAUCCGGAACUGUCAAGCUAGAGUGCAGGAGAGGAAGGUAGAAUUCCCGGUGUAGCGGUGGAAUGCGUAGAGAUCGGGAGGAAUACCAGUGGCGAAGGCGGCCUUCUGGACUGACACUGACACUGAGGUGCGAAAGCGUGGGUAGCAAACAGGAUUAGAUACCCUUGUAGUC
rnacentral:rRNA from 1 species